rnacentral:rRNA from 1 species
ACGGAAGGCAGCAGUGGGGAAUAUUGCGCAAUGGAGGAAACUCUGACGCAGCGACGCCGCGUGAGUGAUGAAGUAUUUCGGUAUGUAAAGCUCUUUAAGCAGGGAAGAUAAUGACGGUACCUGCAGAAUAAGCACCGGCUAAAUACGUGCCAGCAGCCGCGGUAAUACGUAUGGUGCAAGCGUUAUCCGGAUUUACUGGGUGUAAAGGGAGCGUAGGUGGUUUGGCAAGCCAGAAGUGAAAACCCGGGGCUCAACCCCGUGGAUUGCUUUUGGAACUGUUGAACUAGAGUGCAGGAGGGGUAAGUGGAAUUCCUAGUGUAGCGGUGAAAUGCGUAGAUAUUAGGAGGAACACCAGUGGCGAAGGCGGCUUACUGGACUGUAACUGACACUGAGGCUCGAAGGCGUGGGGAGCAAACAGGAUUAGAUACCCUGGUA